UAAUACCAAUCUGCUAAAUAUGGACUCUAUAUUCGUUUGUAGUCUUAUAACUUGAACCUAUUUGAUCCCCAAAAAAAAACAAGUUGUUUUCUAAAACUGUCCCCUACCCCUUACAUAUACUAUUUUUCAAACUUCUACUCUAAGCUAUCUAGGUUCCUACCACCUCCAAUGUGAGCACUACCUAGAGUCCUUGAGACUCCUUUGAACUCUGACAUAAUGGAGCUGGUUUCAAAUAUCUUAUGAAUUUUGUGUUGAAUGUGUGUAUCCAGUGUGCGCAUUGCCGGGGGUCCUUGAGGCUCUUUGCGAACUUUGACUUACUGGAAGCCUCGCUUAACGUGUUGUGGAUCCUGCUACCAUUUCAAAACUGUUGUGCCGAAGGCCUGACUCUCAGUAUUUUGUUGCGCCUGCUAAGGCUCCCUAUAGUGUAAUGAACAACUUUGUGUAAUUCAUUCAUAUUGGUAUGUAAUAAAGUAAUAAUCCUUGUAAAAAUAGAUAUGAGGUUAUUACUAAAAGCUGGG
rnacentral:lncRNA from 1 species